rnacentral:misc_RNA from 1 species
GAUGAAGAACGCAGCGAAAUGCGAUAAGUAGUGUGAAUUGCAGAAUUCAGUGAAUCAUCGAAUCUUUGAACGCACAUUGCGCCCCUUGGUAUUCCAUGGGGCAUGCCUGUUCGAGCGUCAUCUACAACCCUCAAGCUCUGCUUGGUGUUGGGCGUCUGUCCCGCCCCCGCGCGCGGACUCGCCCCAAAUCCAUUGGCGGCGGCCCUUGCCUCCCUCUCGCGCAGCACAUUGCGCUUCUCGAGGCGUCGCGGGCCGCGCUCCACGAAGCACGCAAACCAGUCUUUGACCUCGGAUCAGGUAGGGAUACCCGCUGAACUUAAGCAUAUCAAUAAGCGGAGGA